UACGUAGGGACCAAGCGUUGUUCGGAUUUACUGGGCGUAAAGAGCGCGCAGGCGGUCGUUCAAGUCGCGUGUGAAAGCCCCCGGCUCAACGGGGAGGUGCUGAGUAGACUGGUAAGCUAGAGGACGGUGGAGGGGGUAGAAUUGCUGGUGUAGCGGUGAAAUGCGUAGAUAUCGAGAGGAACACCUGCGGCGAAGGCGGGUUGCUGGGCUGACACUGACGCUGAAGCGCGAAAGCUAGGGAGCGAACGG
rnacentral:rRNA from 1 species